rnacentral:rRNA from 1 species
UGGGGAAUUUUGGACAAUGGGCGAAAGCCUGAUCCAGCAAUGCCGCGUGUGUGAAGAAGGCCUUCGGGUUGUAAAGCACUUUUGUCCGGAAAGAAAUCCUUGGCUCUAAUACAGUCGGGGGAUGACGGUACCGGAAGAAUAAGCACCGGCUAACUACGUGCCAGCAGCUGCGGUAAUACGUAGGGUGCAAGCGUUAAUCGGAAUUACUGGGCGUAAAGCGUGCGCAGGCGGUUUGCUAAGACCGAUGUGAAAUCCCCGGGCUCAACCUGGGAACUGCAUUGGUGACUGGCAGGCUAGAGUAUGGCAGAGGGGGGUUAGAAUUCCACGUGUAGCAGUGAAAUGCGUAGAGAUGUGGAGGAAUACCGAUGGCGAAGGCAGCCCCCUGGGCCAAUACUGACGCUCAUGCACGAAAGCGUGGGGAGCAAACAGGAUUAGAUACCCUGGUAGUCCACGCCCUAAACGAUGUCAACUAGUUGUUGGGGAUUCAUUUCCUUAGUAACGUAGCUAACGCGUGAAGUUGACCGCCUGGGGAGUACGGUCGCAAGAUUAAAACUCAAAGGAAUUGACGGGGUCAUAGCUGUUU